AUACGGAGGGUGCAAGCGUUACUCGGAAUCACUGGGCGUAAAGCGCGCGCAGGCGGCUAUUUAAGUUGGAUGUGAAAGCCUACGGCUCAACCGUAGAACUGCAUCCAAAACUAUUUAGCUAGAGUGUGGGAGAGGAAGAUGGAAUUAGUUGUGUAGGGGUAAAAUCCGUAGAGAUAACUAGGAAUACCAAAAGCGAGGGCAAUCUUCUGGAACGCUACUGACGCUGAGGCGCGAAAGCGUGGGGAGCAAACAGGAUUAGAAACCCUAGUAGUCC
rnacentral:rRNA from 1 species